AUUGAACGCUGGCGGCACGCUUAACACAUGCAAGUCGAACGGCAGCACGGUUCAUAGCAAUAUGAAUGGGUGGCGGGUGGCGGACGGGUGAGUAACGCGUAGGAAUCUACCGUAGAGGCGGGGAUAACUUGGGGAAACUCGAGCUAAUAUCCGAUGAUACCUGCAAAGGUGAAAGGUUGCGAAAGCAGUCGCUGUACGAUGAGCCUGCGUUAGAUUAGCUAGUUGGUAGGGUAAAGGUCUACCAAGGCGAUGAUCUAUAGCUGUUCUGAGAGGAAGAUCAGCCACACUGGGACUGAGACACGGCCCAGACUCCUACGGGAGGCAGCAGUGGGGAAUAUUGGACAAUGGGGGCAACCCUGAUCCAGCGAUGCCGCGUGUGUGAAGAAGGCCUUAGGGUUGUAAAGCACUUUAGUUGGGGAGGAGGAGUUUCGGUUGAGUAGGCCGAGACGAGGACAUUACCCAAAGAAUAAGCACCGGCUAACUCUGUGCCAGCCGCCGCGGUAA
rnacentral:rRNA from 1 species